AUGGCCGCCUCCGCGUCCGCCUCCACGUCCCUCUUCGGGCCGUCUGCCCUCACCGCCAGGCUCGGGGCGGGGCGCCCGUCCGGCGGGCCCCGGCGGCGCGUCGACGCGCGCGGCCGCGGCCGCCUCUCGGUGGUGGCCGUGCAGACGGGCCCGCAGAAGCCGUCGCCGUCGCCGUCGCCGUCGUCCCCGGCGGCGGACGAGGCGGAGGCGCUGCAGAACCUGCUCAAGCGGGAGUACAAGUACGGCUUCGUCUCCGACUUCGAGUCCUUCUCCAUCCCCAAGGGCCUCUCCGAGGCCACCGUCCGCCGCAUCUCGGAGCUCAAGGCGGAGCCCGCCUGGAUGCUCGACUUCCGCCUCGCCGCCUACCGCCGCUUCCUCACCAUGGCGGAGCCCACCUGGAGCGACAACGUCUACUCGCCCGUCGACCUCCAGUCCCUGUGCUUCUACUCCGCGCCCAAGACCAAGCCCAAGCUCAACAGCCUCGACGAGGUCGACCCCGAGCUGCUCAAGACCUUCGACCGCCUCGGGAUCCCUCUCGGCGAGCAGAAGCGCCUCUCCAACGUCGCCGUCGACGCCGUCAUCGACUCCACCUCCAUCGCCACCACCCACAGGGAGGCGCUCAUGGCCAAGGGCGUCAUAUUUUGCUCCAUCUCCGAGGCCAUCCGUGAGUACCCGGACCUCAUCAAGCGCUACAUCGGGAGUAUUGUGCCGCCUGGUGACAAUUACUAUGCCGCGCUCAAUUCAGCCGUGUUCAGUGACGGAUCCUUCUGCUAUGUGCCCAAGGACACGGUCUGCCCCAUGGAGAUAUCUACUUACUUCAGAAUCAAUGACAAGGAGACCGGGCAGUUUGAGAGGACUCUGAUUGUGGCUGAUGAGAGGAGCACGGUUAGCUAUUUGGAAGGUUGUACUGCUCCAGCAUAUGACUCCAACCAGCUCCACGCCGCGGUGGUGGAGCUUGUGUGCGAAGAGGGGGCCGAGAUUAAGUACUCCACCGUGCAGAAUUGGUAUGCUGGCGAUGAGGAGGGCAAAGGGGGCAUUUACAAUUUUGUGACCAAGAGGGGGCGGUGCAAGGGGCGUGGCUCGAAAAUCUCAUGGACACAGGUUGAGACAGGGUCAGCAAUCACCUGGAAGUACCCAAGUGUGGAGCUUGUUGGGGACGACACUGUUGGAGAGUUCUACUCCGUAGCGCUGACCAAGGAUUACCAGCAGGCCGAUACAGGGACGAAGAUGAUCCAUAAGGGGAAGAAUUCACGCAGCCGGAUUAUAUCCAAGGGCAUCUCAGCAGGGAAGUCAAGGAAUUGCUACCGUGGGUUGGUCCAGAUGAAUUCAGGUGCAGAGAAUGCUUAUAAUUCUUCGCAGUGUGAUUCAUUGCUGAUUGGGGACAACGCUGCUGCUAACACCUAUCCCACCAUUCAGGUGGGUUGCACUAGUGGCCGUGUUGAGCAUGAGGCAAGCACAUCCAAAAUUGGCGAGGAUCAGCUAUUCUACUUUCAGCAAAGAGGGAUAGAUCAUGAAAAGGCCGUUGCAGCCAUGAUCGGUGGGUUCUGUAGGGCUGUCUUUGAACACCUUCCUUACGAGUUUGCCCAGGAGGUGGAUGCACUUAUGAACCUGAAGCUGGAGGGAUCAGUUGGCUAA
rnacentral:rRNA from 1 species